AACGAACGCUGGCGGCAGGCCUAACACAUGCAAGUCGAGCGCCCCGCAAGGGGAGGCGGCGGACGGGUGAGUAACACGUGGGAAUUUUCCUUCAAGGUACGGAACAACUCAGGGAAACUUGGGCUAAUACCGUAUGAUGCAGAGAUGCCAAAGAUUUAUCGCCUUGGGAUAAGCCCGCGUCAGAUUAGGUAGUUGGUGGGGUAAUGGCCUACCAAGCCUGUGAUCUGUAGCUGGUCUGAGAGGACGAUCAGCCACAUUGGGACUGAGACACGGCCCAAACUCCUACGGGAGGCAGCAGUGGGGAAUCUUGCGCAAUGGGCGAAAGCCUGACGCAGCCAUGCCGCGUGAAUGAUGAAGGUCUUAGGAUUGUAAAGUUCUUUUAGCCUGUGACGAUGAUGACGGUAACAGGAGAAUAAGCCCCGGCUAACUUCGUG
rnacentral:rRNA from 1 species